GUUUAUAUAGUUUAAAUAAAACCUUACAUUUUCAUUGUAAAAAUAAUUAAUAAUAAUUUAUAAAUU
rnacentral:tRNA from 1 species